rnacentral:rRNA from 13 species
GACAAUAAACGUUAUAAAGAAAAAAGAAAAAAUCACCUCGUUCUCGUCCAAUCACGAAAAUUAAGCAACGCUAGCACGUGGAUAGUACUUAGAUGGAUGGCCGCUUGGGAACUCCGUGUGGUGUUGGCU